rnacentral:rRNA from 1 species
AGUGGGGAAUCUUGCGCAAUGGGCGAAAGCCUGACGCAGCAACGCCGCGUGCGGGAUGAAGGCUCUCGGGUUGUAAACCGCUUUCAGGAGGGACGAAAAUGACGGUACCUCCAGAAGAAGCCCCGGCCAACUACGUGCCAGCAGCCGCGGUAACACGUAGGGGGCGAGCGUUGUCCGGAUUUAUUGGGCGUAAAGAGCUCGUAGGCGGUUUGGCAAGUCGGGUGUGAAAUUUCGAGGCUCAACCUCGAGACGCCACUCGAUACUGCCAUGACUGGAGUCCGGUAGAGGAGUGCGGAAUUCCUGGUGUAGCGGUGAAAUGCGCAGAUAUCAGGAGGAACACCAACGGCGAAGGCAGCACUCUGGGCCGGUACUGACGCUGAGGAGCGAAAGCGUGGGGAGCAAA